rnacentral:rRNA from 1 species
GACGAACGCUGGCGGCGUGCCUAAUACAUGCAAGUCGAACGCAGUGGGGACGGGUGAGUAACACGUGGGUAACCUCCCAUCAGAGGGGAUAACACUUGGAAACAGGCCCUAAACCGAUACUGAUGGAUGGACCCGCGGUCCAUUAGCUAGUGGGUGAGGUAACGGCUCACCAAGGCCACGAUGCAUAGCGGACCUGAGAGGGGGAUGGGCCACACUGGAACGGGACCACGGCCAAGACUCCUACGGGAGGAAGCAGUAGGGAAUCUGCGGCAAUGGACGAAAGUCGGACCGAGAAACGCCGGGUGGGUGAGGAAGGUUUUCGGAUCGUAAAACUCGGUUGUUAGGGAAGCGGUAUCUAACCAGAAAGCCACGGCUAACUACGUGCCAGCAGCCGCGGUAAUAC